AACGAACGCUGGCGGCAUGCCUAAUACAUGCAAGUCGAACGAGAUCUUCGGAUCUAGUGGCGCACGGGUGCGUAACGCGUGGGAAUCUGCCCUUGGGUUCGGAAUAACUUCUGGAAACGGAAGCUAAUACCGGAUGAUGACGUAAGUCCAAAGAUUUAUCGCCCAAGGAUGAGCCCGCGUAGGAUUAGCUAGUUGGUGGGGUAAAGGCCCACCAAGGCGACGAUCCUUAGCUGGUCUGAGAGGAUGAUCAGCCACACUGGGACUGAGACACGGCCCAGACUCCUACGGGAGGCAGCAGUAGGGAAUAUUGGACAAUGGGCGAAAGCCUGAUCCAGCAAUGCCGCGUGAGUGAUGAAGGCCUUAGGGUUGUAAAGCUCUUUUACCCGGGAUGAUAAUGACAGUACCGGGAGAAUAAGCUCCGGCUAACUCCGUGCCAGCAGCCGCGGUAAUACGGAGGGAGCUAGCGUUGUUCGGAAUUACUGGGCGUAAAGCGCACGUAGGCGGCUAUUCAAGUCAGAGGUGAAAGCCCGGGGCUCAACCCCGGAACUGCCUUUGAAACUAGAUAGCUUGAAUCCAGGAGAGGUGAGUGGAAUUCCGAGUGUAGAGGUGAAAUUCGUAGAUAUUCGGAAGAACACCAGUGGCGAAGGCGGCUCACUGGACUGGUAU
rnacentral:rRNA from 1 species